GACGAACGCUGGCGGCGUGCCUAAUACAUGCAAGUCGAACGGAGUGGCGCACGGGUGAGUAAUAUAUAGAUAAUCUGCCCCUUGCUGGAGGACAACAGUUAGAAAUGACUGCUAAUACUCCAUAGAAAGGGUUGAGACUAUAUCGUAUCAGCUAGUCGGUGGGGUAACGGCCUACCGAGGCUAUGACCCGUAACUGGUCUGAGCGGAUGAUCAGUCACAGUUGAACUGAGACACGGGUCAAGCUCCGACCGGAGGCAGCAGUAGGGAAGAUUGCGCAAUGGGGGAAACCCUGACGCAGCAACGCCGCGUGGAGGAUGACACGUUUCGGAGCGUAAACUCCUUUUGUUAGGGAAGCGGUACCUAACGAAUAAGCACCGGCUAACUCCGUGCCAGCAGCCGCGGUAAUAC
rnacentral:rRNA from 1 species